rnacentral:rRNA from 1 species
GGGCCCGCACAAGCGGUGGAGUAUGUGGUUUAAUUCGAUGCAACGCGAAGAACCUUACCUACUCUUGACAUCCAGAGAACUUUUCAGAGAUGAAUUGGUGCCUUCGGGAACUCUGAGACAGGUGCUGCAUGGCUGUCGUCAGCUCGUGUUGUGAAAUGUUGGGUUAAGUCCCGCAACGAGCGCAACCCUUAUCCUUGUUUGCCAGCGAGUAAUGUCGGGAACUCCAGGGAGACUGCCGGUGAUAAACCGGAGGAAGGUGGGGACGACGUCAAGUCAUCAUGGCCCUUACGAGUAGGGCUACACACGUGCUACAAUGGCGCAUACAGAGGGCGGCCAACUUGCGAGAGUGAGCGAAUCCCAAAAAGUGCGUCGUAGUCCGGAUCGGAGUCUGCAACUCGACUCCGUGAAGUUGGAGUCGCUAGUAAUCG